rnacentral:rRNA from 1 species
GGCGAACGGGUGAGUAAUAUAUCGGAACAUGUCCGGAAGUGGGGGAUAACGUACCGAAAGGUACGCUAAUACCGCAUAUGCCCUGAGGGGGAAAGGAGGGGAUCGCAAGACCUUUCGCUUUCGGAGUGGCCGAUAUCGGAUUAGCUAGUUGGUGAGGUAAAGGCUCACCAAGGCGACGAUCCGUAGCUGGUCUGAGAGGACGACCAGCCACACUGGAACUGAGACACGGUCCAGACUCCUACGGGAGGCAGCAGUGGGGAAUUUUGGACAAUGGGGGCAACCCUGAUCCAGCCAUGCCGCGUGAGUGAAGAAGGCCUUCGGGUUGUAAAGCUCUUUCAGCCGGAAAGAAACGGUUACGGUGAAUAUCCGUGACUAAUGACGGUACCGGCAGAAGAAGCACCGGCUAACUACGUGCCAGCAGCCGCGGUAAUACGUAGGGUGCGAGCGUUAAUCGGAGUUACUGGGCGUAAAGCGUGCGCAGGCGGUUUUGUAAGACAGACGUGAAAUCCCCGGGCUUAACCUGGGAACUGCGUUUGUGACUGUAUAGCUAGAGUGUGUCAGAGGGGGGUAGAAUUCCACGUGUAGCAGUGAAAUGCGUAGAUAUGUGGAGGAAUACCAAUGGCGAAGGCAGCCCCCUGGGAUAACACUGACGCUCAUGCACGAAAGCGUGGGGAGCAAACAGGAUUAGAUACCCUGGUAGUCCACGCCCUAAACGAUGCUGACUAGUUGUUCGGGAUUUACAUCCUGAGUAACGUAGCUAACGCGUGAAGUCAGCCGCCUGGGGAGUACGGUCGCAAGAUUAAAACUCAAAGGAAUUGACGGGGACCCGCACAAGCGGUGGAUGAUGUGGAU